rnacentral:hammerhead_ribozyme from 1 species
GCAUUGCUGACGUGUUCAAGACAGGACGAAAUAGCUGUCCAAUAU